rnacentral:rRNA from 1 species
AGUAAUAUAUAGAUAAUGUGCCUCUUAGUCUGGGAUAGCCAUUGGAAACGAUGAUUAAUACUAGAUACUCCUUCUAACUCUAAUGUUAGUCGGGAAAGUUUUUUCGCUAAGAGAUCAGUCUAUAUCCCAUCAGCUUGUUGGUAGUGUAAGAGACUACCAAGGCUAUGACGGGUAGCGGGUUUGAGAGGAUGAUCCGCCACACUGGUACUGAGACACGGACCAG